rnacentral:rRNA from 1 species
CCUACGGGAGGCAGCAGUGAGGAAUAUUGGUCAAUGGCCGUAAGGCUGAACCAGCCAAGUCGCGUGAAGGAAGAAGGAUCUAUGGUUUGUAAACUUCUUUUAUAGGGGAAUAAAGGUAUCCACGUGUGGAUAUUUGCAUGUACCCUAUGAAUAAGCAUCGGCUAACUCCGUGCCAGCAGCCGCGGUAAUACGGAGGAUGCGAGCGUUAUCCGGAUUUAUUGGGUUUAAAGGGUGCGUAGGGUGUUUUUUAAGUCAGCGGUGAAAGUUUGUGGCUCAACCAUAAAAUUGCCGUUGAAACUGGAAGACGUGAGUGUGUUUGAGGUAGGCGGAAUGCGUGGUGUAGCGGUGAAAUGCAUAGAUAUCACGCAGAACUCCGAUUGCGAAGGCAGCUUACUAAGCCAUAACUGACACUGAAGCACGAAAGCGUGGGGAUCAAACAGGAUUAGAUACCCCGGUAGUC